rnacentral:rRNA from 1 species
UACGUAGGGGGCUAGCGUUGUCCGGAAUCAUUGGGCGUAAAGCGCGCGUAGGUGGCUUCGUAAGUCCGUUGUGAAAGUCAAAGGCUCAACCUUUGAAAGCCGAUGGAUACUGCGGAGCUAGAGUACGGAAGAGGCGAGUGGAAUUCCUGGUGUAGCGGUGGAAUGCGCAGAUAUCAGGAGGAACACCAGUGGCGAAGGCGGCUCACUGGUCCAUUACUGACGCUGAGGUGCGAAAGCGUGGGGAGCAAACAGG